rnacentral:sRNA from 1 species
GUCAAUAACCCCCGCCUAAAGAGGCGGGGGCUUGAAAGUCUCUGAUUUUCAAGCCCAAGUUGACUAGCCUAAGUCCGUCAUGGGACGGACUACGUUGGUUGAGAAUAUAUAGGCACCGCCGGAUGUUA